rnacentral:tRNA from 1 species
GCCUAGUUAGCUUAGUUGGUAGUGCGUCUGCCUUAUAAGCGCUAGGCCGCGGGUUCGAUUCACGCCCGGGGCG